UUCAUGUCUGAGAGCAAAGAAACACAGAGUUCAUGUUAGAAAACUAAAUAUGUUGGUUUUUUUAUUGACUUUAACAGCAUCGGUCUUUAAGUCUCACACUUGGGGCUGCCGACGAUCCCCGGGACGAAGACAUGAGCGCCUCUCAGUACGGCACUGCCACACUGAGCGCCAACCACCACCUCUGAGCUGAGCUGCUUCACAGGUUUGUCUCAGACUCGCCCAGUGGUCGGACUGAUACUGCGAUUUAAGUCUGAGUGUGUACUCCAUAGAGCAGAUUCAGAUUCGUCUGACGUUGUUCCAGCAUUCCUUACAUACCUCGGGCCAUCGACGGGAAGGAGCAGCACAUCUGGAAUUCGCGGAUCCUCUCCCAACUUGUGUCGGAUCUCUUCCAGGGGAGCUAGAUGAGUGCUGGCCCGAACACAAGUGUACGAAGGAGGGUGAGACAGACAUGUGAGCAGCUUCUGGAAACGACUUUCUGCCUCCUGAAGGCC